GGGGGAUAUUGCACAAUGGGCGCAAGCCUGAUGCAGCGACGCCGCGUGAGGGAUGACGGCUUUCGGGUUGUAAACCUCUUUUACUAUUGAACAAGGCGCCAUAUUGGUGGUGUUGAGGGUAGGUGGUGAAUAAGCGCCGGCUAACUACGUGCCAGCAGCCGCGGUAAUACGUAGGGCGCGAGCGUUGUCCGGAAUUAUUGGGCGUAAAGAGCUCGUAGGCGGCUUGUCGCGUCUGCUUGGAAAUCCUGGGGCUUAACUCUGGGCGUGCAGUGGGUACGGGCAGGCUAGAGUGCGGUAGGGGUGAUUGGAAUUCCUGGUGUAGCGGUGGAAUGCGCAGAUAUCAGGAGGAACACCGAUGGCGAAGGCAGGUCACUGGGCCGUUACUGACGCUGAGGAGCGAAAGCAUGGGGAGCGAAC
rnacentral:rRNA from 1 species